CCUACGGGUGGCAGCAGUGAGGAAUAUUGGUCAAUGGGCGGAAGCCUGAACCAGCCAAGUAGCGUGCAGGAUGACGGCCCAACGGGGUGUAAACUGCUUUUAUACGGGAAUAACGCGCCUUACGUGUAGGGCUUUGCAUGUACCGUAUGAAUAAGGACCGGGUAAUUCCGUGCCAGCGCCCCGGGUAUGACGGAAGUGCCGGCCGUUAUCCGGUUUUUUUGGGUUUAAAGGGGCCGUAGGUCGGAUGUCAAGCGUGCUGUGAAAUGGCCGGGCUCACCGCGGGCCUUGCAGCGCGUAUUGGCGUGCUGGAGUCCGCGUAAAGCAGGCGGAAUUCGUCGUGUAGCGGUGAAAUGCAUAGAUAUGACGAAGAACCCCGAUUGCGAAGGCAGCUUGCGGCAGCGGAACUGACGCUGAUGCUCGAAAGCGCGGGUAUCGAACAGGAUUAGAUACCCCAGUAGUC
rnacentral:rRNA from 1 species